rnacentral:rRNA from 1 species
ACAACGGAGAGUUUGAUCCUGGCUCAGGACGAACGCUGGCGGCGUGCUUAACACAUGCAAGUCAACUUGAGUCAUUUAGCAAUAGAUGAUUAGGGUGGCGCAAGGGUGCGUAACGCGUAAGCAAUCUGCCCUUUGGCGAGGAAUAACUUCGAGAAAUCGGAGCUAAAACCACAUAAUGCAGCGGCACCGCAUGGUGAAGUUGUUAAAGAGAAAUUACCAAAGGAUGAGCUUGCGUCUGAUUAGCUAGUUGGUAAGGUAACGGCUUACCAAGGCAACGAUCAGUAGCUGGUCUGAGAGGAUGAUCAGCCACACUGGAACUGAGACACGGUCCAGACUCCUACGGGAGGCAG